ACAAAAAAAACCACUUCUUUAUAACUAAGAACUGCUCAGUAUAACCCUUUGGAAAGUGUUUCAUCUUCUCACCAACAGGCCACAGCUUGGCUGACAACAGUCAGUCAUUCUUGAACAUAUAUAGGAAUAUAACAUAUGAAUCGUAAGAGAUGCAAUUUUUUCAGAAUGUUUGGGAAAAAGACAUUUUAAUUUCAGUUUAAUUCAUAUGUUGGCCACCUGGGAGCAGUGCAACAACCUAGAAACAAUACUGUGCCUUGCUGUCUUGCGCUCACACCUGACAAGCAUGACAACUUGCCGUACAUAAAUACCCGGGUGUUGCACUCAAAACGGUCUAAAAAUGUGUGAGUGUAAAACGAUGGACACUUCUCACCCCCAUCGGUCACCAUGUUGGCAAUGUACGCAGUGGAAGGGGAAAGACUUUCAAACUUGUGAAAACAGCGACCGAAGAAGAAGGACACAUCGUCGGGCCGAUGACGGCCUAAUUUUUCUAUUUCUCAUGGCACACAUAAGAAAGUAAAUGGUUCAUUUUCAAGUCAAGUGAGCAAAGUGCAGCAGGUGUGUGACAAUUACGGUCACCUGUUUAGAUCGUCAUUUCCGGAUCUGUCUCUUUCACAGCAAUGCUCUUAUGACAUUCGCAACUGAAAGCUGCUCGGUACAACCACAGUCUGACCUGCUGGCCACUGAGCAGCUCCACUGGAUCAGCAAGGGUUAAUGGUCUGGCUCAAGGGCACCACAGUGAUGUUGACAAGGGGACAGAGUGAGACAGAGAGAAGGAGAGACGGGAAGAAGCUGGAAGAAGCUCCCCUCCUGUUUUUCAUCUCAGCGCACACAUCAAACAAAGAUAUCCAUCACACCCACUCCCACCCCCACUUCACUUCCUCUCGCUAUGAACCAGUCACUGUGUGUUUAGCAGUGACAGGGAGUCAUCUUGGCUUCAGGAACCUGAGCUGGUGGCAAAUGCAAGAAGCCAUUGUGGCUCUGACCCACCCUGCAGCCACACACAACCCUCCAACCACCUCUAUUCUACACCAGUUUUCUAUCCUGUAGAAAAAUAACGUAAAGGUGCUAUUCGAUAGCUCAAUUAUGGGAUGCUCCAUCAUAUUUCAGAUUAAAACCCAUUUCUAUUUUGACCGACUUUGUUUCUUUUUAAACCUUAUGGUAAGUGGGUGGUAAAAAAUGCGUGUGGUGUGAAAUGGAUUAAAGGCUUCCCCAGUGCUGCAGAGACUAUUAAUGCAACUGACCAGUCUGCAAAUACAACACAGUGCAUGGGCUUUAAGCUAAACAAUGAAGACAAAAAAACAUUCCACUUGGCUGCACAAUAAUCAAUAAUAAAUUAUCUCUCAAGAACAGAAUAAUUGU